ACGGACGGACGUCAUCAAGGUGUCAUUUAUAGAGCAGUCGGUUUUCAGUUUCUCUUCUUUUGUGACUGAUGGAAUGGAGAGGUAUAUUGUUAAUUUUGUGAUUCUUCAUGUCACAAAUUAUGUUCUUAUCGGUGAUACAGCUUUAAUUGAUAAUUAUUGUACUGGAGCCGGCUAUGAUACAUAUUGUUUCUGGACUACAGACCAAACUGGAUCUUUUGAUGAUGUUAAAUCUUAUUGUGAGAACGAUGGAGGCAAGUUGACAUAUUUUCGUAGUCAAGAGAUGGAACAAUACAUUUACAACAAUCGGAACACACACCUUUUUAAGGGCUACACAAGGAUAUACGUUGGUAUAACAGAUUUACAAACUGAAGGAACAUGGCUAGCAAUUGGUGACAAAAAAGUAUCGUGGUUGAAUUUUGCCGACGGUCAGCCAGAUCGGGGUACUCAAGAAAAUUGUUUGUUCAUGCAACUUGACAACACGGGAUAUAAAUUACGUGAUAUAAGCUGCAUUAACUUUGAUAUCCAUGGACUCUGCGGGAAGAAAAUUAUCGUUUCACCAAACGUAUUUACAGCCAAACAAGGGAAGCUGAAUAAUCAUGUUUUUAGAAGUUUUCAAGCUUACAGUGUCAGUCAUUGUACGCUUAAUUGUUUUCAGACAGAUGCCUGUAAAUCGUGUAAUUAUGACAAAACAACCCACAUCUGUCAAUUAAAUGGAAUGACCAGGGAGAUGGCGAGUUUGGCCGACUUCUCAAGUUUUAGUGGAUUGUAUUUGUCCUUCAAGACAAAGGAAGAAUCCUUAUAAUCAUAAAACAUCCUUUUAUAUGAAAAAAUGAUGAUAUUCGAAGAUUCCCGAUUGAACUUUAAUUUCAAUGAUUAAUAAUCAUAUUGACUUGAAAUAGAAUAAUCCUAUCAUGUGGAUUUGGUUCCUUUAAGACUUUGUCCAUGCUGCAAAAGGACACUAAUCACCAACCAACUAAAAUAUUUUGACUAAAGAUAAUAUAAU